CGGUAGGUGAACCUGCGGAAGGAUCAUUA
rnacentral:rRNA from 1 species